rnacentral:rRNA from 1 species
AACGUGGGCCCGUGAACCGGGUUGCGGACAGUGUCUGGUGGGUAGUUUGACUGGGGCGGUCUCCUCCUAAAGAGUAACGGAGGAGCACGAAGGUUGGCUAAUCCUGGUCGGACAUCAGGAGGUUAGUGCAAUGGCAUAAGCCAGCUUGACUGCGAGCGUGACGGCGCGAGCAGGUGCGAAAGCAGGUCAUAGUGAUCCGGUGGUUCUGAAUGGAAGGGCCAUCGCUCAACGGAUAAAAGGUACUCCGGGGAUAACAGGCUGAUACCGCCCAAGAGUUCAUAUCGACGGCGGUGUUUGGCACCUCGAUGUCGGCUCAUCACAUCCUGGGGCUGAAGUAGGUCCCAAGGGUAUGGCUGUUCGCCAUUUAAAGUGGUACGCGAGCUGGGUUUAGAACGUCGUGAGACAGUUCGGUCCCUAUCUGCCGUGGGCGCUGGAAGAUUGAGGGGGGCUGCUCCUAGUACGAGAGGACCGGAGUGGACGCAUCACUGGUGUUCGGGUUGUCAUGCCAAUGGCACUGCCCGGUAGCUACAUGCGGAAGAGAUAAGUGCUGAAAGCAUCUAAGCACGAAACUUGCCCCGAGAUGAAUCUUCCCUGAGCCUUUAAGGCUCCUGAAGGAACGUUGAAGACGACGACGUUGAUAGGCCGGGUGUGUAAGCGCAGCGAUGCGUUGAGCUAACCGGUACUAAUGAACCGUGAGGCUUAACCUUACAAC